UGAGGGAAAGGCGAAAAGAACCCCGGCGAGGGGAGUGAAAAAGAACCUGAAACCGUGUACGUACAAGCAGUGGGAGCACCCUUCGGGGUGUGACUGCGUACCUUUUGUAUAAUGGGUCAGCGACUUAUAUUCUGUAGCAAGGUUAACCGUAUAGGGGAGCCGUAGGGAAACCGAGUCUUAACCGGGCGUUAAGUUGCAGGGUAUAGACCCGAAACCCGGUGAUCUAGCCAUGGGCAGGUUGAAGGUUGGGUAACACUAACUGGAGGACCGAACCGACUAAUGUUGAAAAAUUAGCGGAUGACCUGUGGCUGGGGGUGAAAGGCCAAUCAAACCGGGAGAUAGCUGGUUCUCCCCGAAAGCUAUUUAGGUAGCGCCUCGUGAAUUCAUCUCCGGGGGUAGAGCACUGUUUCGGCUAGGGGGCCAUCCCGGCUUACCAACCCGAUGCAAACUGCGAAUACCGGAGAAUGUUAUCACGGGAGACACACGGCGGGUGCUAACGUCCGUCGUGAAGAGGGAAACAACCCAGACCGCCAGCUAAGGUCCCAAAGUCAUGGUUAAGUGGGAAACGAUGUGGGAAGGCCCAGACAGCCAGGAUGUUGGCUUAGAAGCAGCCAUCAUUUAAAGAAAGCGUAAUAGCUCACUGGUCGAGUCGGCCUGCGCGGAAGAUGUAACGGGGCUAAACCAUGCACCGAAGCUGCGGCAGCGAACGUAUCACCCAAGACAACUUUACGGAGUUGACGAUUGACGGAGCGAAGCGACGUCAAAGCGUUCAUUAAAGUCGAGUUGGCUUAGGGAUACGUUCGUUGGGUAGGGGAGCGUUCUGUAAGCCUGUGAAGGUGUGUCGUGAGGCAUGCUGGAGGUAUCAGAAGUGCGAAUGCUGACAUAAGUAACGAUAAAGCGGGUGAAAAGCCCGCUCGCCGGAAGACCAAGGGUUCCUGUCCAACGUUAAUCGGGGCAGGGUGAGUCGACCCCUAAGGCGAGGCCGAAAGGCGUAGUCGAUGGGAAACGGGUUAAUAUUCCCGUACUUGGUGUUACUGCGAAGGGGGGACGGAGAAGGCUAUGUUGGCCGGGCGACGGUUGUCCCGGUUUAAGCGUGUAGGUGUGUGUUCCAGGUAAAUCCGGUUCACUUUAACACUGAGGCGUGACGACGAGGCACUACGGUGCUGAAGCAACAAAUGCCCUGCUUCCAGGAAAAGCCUCUAAGCAUCAGGUAACACGAAAUCGUACCCCAAACCGACACAGGUGGUCAGGUAGAGAAUACCAAGGCGCUUGAGAGAACUCGGGUGAAGGAACUAGGCAAAAUGGUGCCGUAACUUCGGGAGAAGGCACGCUGACACGUAGGUGAAGUGAUUUACUCAUGGAGCUGAAGUCAGUCGAAGAUACCAGCUGGCUGCAACUGUUUAUUAAAAACACAGCACUGUGCAAACACGAAAGUGGACGUAUACGGUGUGACGCCUGCCCGGUGCCGGAA
rnacentral:rRNA from 1 species